UACGUAGGGGGCAAGCGUUGUCCGGAAUUAUUGGGCGUAAAGAGCGUGUAGGCGGCCAGAUAAGUCCGCUGUGAAAUCUCGAGGCUCAACUUCGAGCUGUCGGUGGAAACUAUCUGGCUAGAGUCCGGAAGAGGAGAAUGGAAUUCCUGGUGUAGCGGUGAAAUGCGCAGAUAUCAGGAAGAACACCCGUGGCGAGGGCGGUUCUCUGGGACGGUACUGACGCUGAGACGCGAAAGCGUGGGGAGCGAACAGG
rnacentral:rRNA from 1 species